GCGCACCAGGCGCGAAAACUCCGCAAUGCACGAAAGUGCGACGGGGUUACCUCGAGUGCCGCCUGAUGAAGGCGGCUUUUCCACAGUGUAAGGAGCUGUGGGAAUAAGGAGAGGGCAAGUCUGGUGUCAGCCGCCGCGGUAAUACCAGCUCUCCGAGUGGUAGGGACGAUUAUUGGGCUUAAAGCGUCCGUAGCCGGCUCAGCAAGUCUCCCGUUAAAUCCAACGAUUCAAUCGUUGGACUGCGGGAGAUACUGUUGAGCUAGGAGGCGGGAGAGGCCGACGGUAUUCCCGGAGUAGGGGUGAAAUCUUAUAAUUCCGGGAGGACCACCAGUGGCGAAGGCUGUCGGCUAGAACGCGCUCGACGGUGAUGGACGAAAGCUGGGGGAGCGAACCGGAUUAGAUACCCGGGUAGUCC
rnacentral:rRNA from 1 species